CCGUAGCGAUGUGAGCUCGCCGAUGUCGUAAGCCCUUUUUCGAUUGAUUUUAAAACCCUAACUCCAAUCAAUCAAUGAAUUGCUGUGGAUUUCUAGGUCUAAAUAUGAUAAAGGCGAGGAGAUAUUCAUCGGGAAGCAAGGAUUGAAGAAAAAGCUCUUUGAGGAUUCAAGGCGAUAUCUUCGAAGCCAUCGACACAUAUGAGUAAUUUGACAAAUGAAGAGUUUGUACAAAUUCUGCAUUUCCGGAAAAGGUUUCACAAAUAUAAGGGUUGCUGCUCUUUCUGCACUCAAAUUGGAGUACAAAGUACAAUCAACACUGAAAGAGGGUACUAUGGUUGAAGACAAUAGGAAAACUACUGCUGGACACAAGUGAGAAUAAAGGCUUAGUCCGCUCUAUCCAACCUAACAGCUCAGGAGAAGGAGCAAGCUCGUAUUACUGUAUGUUUCCGUAUGAUUACGAGUUUUCUUUUGGAUAUGAAUUUCUCUAUUAUGUGUAGUUGUAUUGAUAAUGAUGAGGAUCAUGUUGAUUGUGAUUUUGAUUUAAGUUUUUCUGUGCAUAAAGUCGGUUAGGGGUCAAUCGAGUUGGUUUGGCUCCUUAUUUAUGGCAACAAAUUAGUACAUGUGUUUGGUUUGGUAAAUAGGUUGAAAGAAGAAAUGCAGAUUUUU